GAGGAUGUACUUCUGUUCACCAGCCCAUCCUUCAGUAGAAGGACUGCAGACCUACUGGUGCUGACAGCAGAUGGCUCAGAAUAUGCUCCCAGGAGAGUGGGAAGUAGGAGAGAUGGGAUAAUUGGGUUCAUGCUGUUGGCCCUGGAAUCCAGAGCUGUUACAGGCUUGGAACGACGCAGAGGAAAUGGUCGACCGCGAUGGAUGUGCAGCAGUAACGAGUGGUUUGAAGGGAGCUAAAAAUACGUGUUGUAUUCAGUGAGAAGCACCCCAUAAGCCAUCAGCAUGAUAUUUUGUAAAUCUUGCCUUCUGAAUGAGAACAGAAACUGGGUCAUGUUGCUUUACUUCAAACAAAGGGUUGGUGUGACUCAGCGGGUAAGAUGUGAUCAUCCACUGGGGAAUGAAAAAAAUUUAAUGAAGUGGUCUCUAAAGAUAAUAUUUUUAUGAUGAUGUA